rnacentral:rRNA from 1 species
CCGGCACGGGUGAGUAACACGUAUCCAACCUGCCGUCUACUCUUGGACAGCCUUCUGAAAGGAAGAUUAAUACAAGAUGGCAUCAUGAGUCCGCAUGUUCACAUGAUUAAAGGUAUUCCGGUAGACGAUGGGGAUGCGUUCCAUUAGAUAGUAGGCGGGGUAACGGCCCACCUAGUCUUCGAUGGAUAGGGGUCUGAGAGGAAGGUCCCCCACAUUGGAACUGAGACACGGUCCAA